CCCUUAGAUGUUCUGGGCCGCACGCGCGCUACACUGACGGAGGCAGCGAGCAUGUCCUUCGCCGAGAGGUGUGGGGAAUCUUGUGAGUCUCCGUCGUGCUGGGGAUAGAUGGUUGCAAUUGUCGAUCUUGAACGAGGAAUUCCUAGUAAGCGCGAGUCAUCAGCUCGCGCUGAUUACGUCCCUGCCCUUUGUACACACCGCCCGUCGCUACUACCGAUCGAAGAGUUAGGUGAAUUGUUUUGAUCGAUAAGAUUUGACUAUGGUCAACUCUCGUUGUGAAAUUCUGUGAAUCUGACUGUUUAGAGGAAGGAAAAGUCGUAACA
rnacentral:rRNA from 1 species